AUAAUUUGUUAUUAAUUUGAUUUAUAUGUAAAUUUUUGUGAGAAUUUUCAUUUAUUUUAAAAAUAUGUGAAUUUUUUGGAAUCGCAGUAAUUAGUUUUAUUAAUUAAAGAAAUUUAGAAAUAGCAAUAUUAAAAAGUAUAGAUAAAAUUGGUGCCAGCAAUCGCGGUUACACUAAUUAUACAAAUGAAUUUUUUUAGUAAUAGUUGAAUUGAUUUAAUAUAUAUAAAUAUAAUUAAAUUUAUUAAGUGAAAUUUUAAAUUUAAAUUUUUAUAAAAUUAUUAAUUGAAGCUAAAAAAUUUUAAUAAA
rnacentral:rRNA from 1 species